CUGGUCACUGUUUUGAAGGGGAGUGAAGAACACACCCUCAAAAAAAGAAUAAAUGACGCUCCCAAUUCAUCGGAUGAUGACCUGGGCCACAAAGAGGGAACCAGGCAGAGGGCCUUCUUGUGGUGGCGCCCUCCCAGCCGAUGUCAAGGAAAGAAACGACUACCUGACUUUUAGAAGACACCUGAAGAUCCUGUAAGACAGGCGCCGACACGGACCACAGCUGCGAACCGUGAGGCAGAUGUACUGAUACAGUUUGUCUUCCGCGACUGAGGGAAGUGAUGGAGGAUGUAAUGAAGGUGAUUAAUACUAAGGAAGUUGAGGAAGGAGCCACAUUCCACAAUGUCUGCAGAAUUCUCACAAAAAGUGGG